UAGGAACGUACCUUUCGGUUCGGGACAACCCAGGGAAACUUGGGCUAAUACCGGAUACGCCCUUCGGGGGAAAGAUUUAUCGCCGAAAGAUCGGCCCGCGUCCGAUUAGCUAGUUGGUGAGGUAAUGGCUCACCAAGGCGACGAUCGGUAGCUGGUCUGAGAGGAUGAUCAGCCACAUUGGGACUGAGACACGGCCCAAACUCCUACGGGAGCAG
rnacentral:rRNA from 1 species